rnacentral:lncRNA from 1 species
UCAUAAUUCAAUCGGUUAGUUCAAUUUAUUACUUCAUGGAGUGGCAACCUUUGUAUUUCUUGAGUUGGCUGACAGUCAAUUUUCCCUUUACUAACUAUACAUGUCGUCAUUUAAUGUCUAUUCAUAGUUGUUAGACAUAAUCUUGAUCUAGAAAUUAGUUGCAUGCAUUUAGUUCACGUGGUGCGGAUCGUGGACUCGGCGGGCGUUGCCUCGUGCCGCUGGGUCGUGGGCUGCAUACGUGUUGUAGUUAGUGCAGAGUAAAAAAGGAUCAAGCCGUUGUGUGGCUUGACCGGGGAGUUUGCAUGCUAGCUAGGUAGUUAGGCUGGUCGUAAUGGGAGUAUCAUAAGGCUGGUCAUAGUGGGAGUAACUUAGUUAGUAACAUAGUGCAGUCCAAGACAAGUUUGCUUAUGUGACAUGUAUUUAAUGAGGAGAGAUGUGUUUAGAGUAACAUAAUAUGUUACUGUAACAUAGCGUUUUCCAAGAGAGGAUGAGUCUACAAACUAAUAAAUGAAGCCAACUAUGACACUACUAUUAUGUUACUUUGCACCAUGAAGGUGGUAACUUAGACUAGUAUCAUGCAUAUGACACUAGUCUAAGUUACUCUCCACUAUGACCAGCCUAAGGCUAGUCAUAGUGGGAGUAACUUAGCAAGUAACAUAGCGCACUCCGAGAAAUUUUUGCUUAUGUGGCAUGUAGUUAAUGAGAAGUGAUAACAUAAUAUGUUACUGUAACAUAGCGUUUUUCAAGACAAGAUGAGUCUACAAGCUAAUUAAUGAAGUCCUCUAUGACCCUACUACUAUGUUACUUUGCACUAUGAAGGUAGUAACUUAGACUAGUGUCAUAUGCAUGACACUAGUAUAAGUUACUCCCCACUAUGACCAGCCUAACUAGUAUCAUGCAUGUCAACUAGGCAAUUUAGAUGAUGUGGCAUAGAAUUAAAUGAAGAAAGAGAACGUUGAGUAUACCAUAUCAUAAUAAAUGCUACACUACUAUAUGUCAUGCAUGGUAAUAAAUAAAGUCAUCUAUGAUACUACUAUAUGAUAUUAUGCAUUAGAGAGGUAGUAUUAUACACUAGUAUUAAAUGCAUGAUACUAACUUAUGAUACUACCCAUUACAAGCAGCCUUAGUGCAUGGGGUUAGUGGCCGAUCUGGGCGGCUGGGAUAUGUGUGAGUCUGCGUAUUAAAAUGGCCGCGGUGCUGUUGUGUAGAGUAGCCAGAGAGAGAUGUAGCCUCUCGGAGUGUAUGUGUGCUCACGGAUGGUGGUGUGUGUGGCUCGAGUUCGUGCUCGGGGAAAAGAUCGCCGUUGUUGCGGCGGGGCGUACGCGCGCCGGAAACUCCACCGUGUCCUCUGUGUUCACCGUUUUUUCUUCUUCUGUCGUGCGAGCGCAGUAAGAGAGAGAGAGCCAAGCGAGAGCUCAGGUGAGGAGGAAAGCUAGGGCUUGACAACAACAAUUGGUAUCAUGAGCUGGUUCAUCUUGGGUGUCGUCCCCUUGCCGGAGGCGUGCCGGCGGUGGCGGCAUUCUCCGGCGGCGUUCACCGGUGGCUGCGCGGUGAAGCUCUGGGGCGUGUGUCGGCUUGUGGAGGUGCGCGGCGCUGCAGCUGCCAUGGAGGACGCAGAGGCGGCGCGCGGUGAGUCGACGGUGUCUGGUGCAGUCAGGCUCGUCGGGCGCGUCUGGUGCACGGGACGUGCGGGACGCACAGGUGUGGUCGGGCUCGUUAGGCGCGUCGGAUGUGCGCGGAAUGUGCGGGGCGCAGAGGGACGCCAAGCGUGUGUCGCCAGCGGAGAAGGAGCUCGGCGUGUGUCGCCGGAGUCGUGACGGAGCACGAUGCGACCGACGUCGGUGCACCGGGUCGGAUCCACGAGCUGGGUCACGGCGGUGACGACGACAACGACGCGAGCUGCAUUAACUCUGGCGACGGCAGGCACACGACACGUCACAGCGGGCGCGAAGGCGCAUGAUGAUGUCGAGCGAAGGUGUUCAAGGCGACAAUUGACGGCAAGGCGUGUCAAGAUUAGAAGGUGAUUGUUAGACAUAAUCUUGAUCUAGAAAUUAGCUGCAUGCAUUUAGUUCACGUGGUGCAGAUCGUGGACUCGGCGGGCGUUGCCUCGUGCCCCUGGGUCGUGGGCUGCAUACGUGCUAUAGUUAGUGCAGAGUAAAAAAAGGAUCAAGCCGUUGUGUGGCUUGCCCGGGGAGUUUGCAUGCUAGCUAGGUAGUUAGUGCAUGGGGUUAGUGGCCGAUCUAGGCAGCUGGGCUAUGUGUGAGUCUGCGUAUUAAAAUGGCCGCGGUGCUGUUGUGUAGAGUAGCUAGAGAGAGAUGUAGCCUCUCGGAGUGUAUGUGUGCUCACGGAGGGUGGUGUGUGUGGCUCGAGUUCGUGCUCGGGGAAAAGAUCGCCGUUGUUGCGGCGGGGCGUACGUGCGCCGGAAACUCCAUCGUGUCCUCUGUGUUCACCGUUUUUUCUUCUUCUUUUGUCGUGCGAGCGCAGUAAGAGAGAGAGGCAAGCGAGAGCUCAGGUGAGGAGGAAAGCUAGGGCUUGACAACAACAAUAGUAUCACUUCCUUUCAGGUCCUAAACUCACUUUAUGUAUAGAAACUGCGUGACUUUUUGUUGCAUGUGUUUUACAUCUUCCGUUUUAUGGUUAUUCUCUUUUAGUCAGGUUAUGCAAUGAUCCAAAGAGUGUUCUGUUUUUACCAUUCAUAUGGAAUAUAAUAGUUCAUAUCCAGUCGUGCAAUUGGUAAAGUUUCACACAACUUACAUCAUGGUUGCAUACCUAUGAUUCACGCUGAUGCAUAUAAGAAAAUGUACCAUGUAGGCUAAAUUGAUAAUAUUGUAAUCUCUAACUUAAAAUUGGUGCCCUCAUACAACGAACCUCAUCCCUUAGGGAAGUAUAUGCCAUUGUCUGCCACACUUCAAAACAAUAGAUGUGUCAGGUACUCCCUCCGUCCCAAAAUAAGUGUCGCAACUUUGUACGAGCUCUAGUAUAAAUUUAUAUUAAGCUCAAGACACUUAUUUUGGGACGGAGAGAGUAUGAUUUAUCAUUAACCUUAAGAUUUUGUUAACAUAGGUCGCAAAGUAUUAAUCUCAUGUUUUAUUUUUAAUAAUUUCCUGUCAAAUAGAUUUGUGUUUGCCGCAUUUCAGAAGUAAUUUUGAGCUUUUGUAUACUAUGUUCUUCGUCCAGUUUUUGUAUAGUCAAAGUGGAAUGUCUUCUUUGGAUAAGUUGGUGGUUAUUUUUUUAAUGAUAUAAUUAAAUUUGAUUAUAUUUUGCUUUCAUUUCUUUUGUUACACAUUACUCCCUCCGUCCUAAAAUAAGUUACUCAGGUUUGUACUAACUUUAGCUUCAUUUGUUUUACUUGCAAGGUGUCUAGAAAUCGGCCCGGUGGUUGUUCUGCUCUCUAUUACAAUUCAUCUUGAACUUUGCUAUGAUAUUUCACAUUGUGAUGUGCUAAUGGUUGAAUGGUUAGCUAAAAUUCAUUCGUUUUGUUUGAUGAUAUUGCACUAAAACAAACAAGAUUUUACUUUGUACUUCUAUUUUUCUCUCCUAGCAUAUCAAUAUGGAUUGACUGAACAAAUUAUGAUAUGGAAAUAUCCUAAGUGCAAAACAACAUGUGAC